AUCAGCGUGGCUCAGUGGAAAGAGCCUGGGCUUCGGAGUCAGAGGUCAUGGGUUCGACUCCCGGCACUGACA
rnacentral:tRNA from 1 species